AACAGCAGUUUCGUACAACAAAUGGCGGCUAGUAGAGCAAGUCGCUCAUCUGCGCACUCGGUGUACGCUAGUCUAGUGAUUUUACUUGAGCAAUACCUGUGUGGCGGUUGUAUCUAACAGUUCAGUUUUAUCUUUGGAAAGUGCUACGAGUGAUGACAGUAUGUUCAAGUGGUUCUUCCUGCUGUACCGUGUGCGAUGUGUUGGAUUUAGCGCCGAUUAUGUCAACCGUGAUUCUACCGUUUGGAGGUGGUGUACAAGGAUGUAAGCAACUCAUUCCACAUCUCGAGAUAUGUUCCAGCACUUGCUACAAGCGUUCGAAUAAAUGUUUUUAAGUUGAUGGA